AAUUUCGUUGUGGUAUUAUUGUUUGCGAACAAGAAUUGCUGUAAAAAGUUCAAUAAAUUCAUUAAAUUCGGUUUUUAAAACUGGGUAGCCUGGCAAGGAAAAGAGGCUUAUAGCAAGCAAAAUUAAUAAAUCGCUUGUCAAAGCUAUAUUCAAGACUGAAAAAGUCAAGCGCAUUGAAGUUCCAAAAAUCAUCACUUCCUCUACCUAGCCCCAUAAACCCUGGGUAGCCUGGCAAAGAAAAGAGGCUUAUAGAGAGCAAAAUUAAUAUUAAAAUCGCUUGUCAAGGCUAUAUUCAAGACUGAAAAACCAAGUGCAUCGAAGUUCCAAAAAUCAUUACUACCUCUACCUAGCCUCAUUAAAGAUUACUGUUCAAAUGUGACAAGGCCAAAAACUAAAGCAGAUCCUCAUGAUGAGCACCUGUGGAUAAAUCAACACAAAUCACCCUUGGCAAACGGAAAGAUAAGUGCAUUUAAGCAUAUUUCAUGAUAUGGUUUUCUUAUUGUCAACUUAAGGUCGGAAAGGUCCCCUGUUUCUGCUUGUUGAUAUCACUUUUCGAUUUGCUAACCGCGGUAGCGUUCAUUUUUUCGGUAGCGUUCAUUUUUUCGGCAGCGUUCAUUUUUUCGGUAGCGUUCAUUUUUUCGGUAG